rnacentral:rRNA from 1 species
UACGAAGGGUGCAAACGUUGCUCGGAAUUAUUGGGCGUAAAGCGCACGUAGGCGGCUUAGCAAGUCGGAUGUGAAAUCCCUCGGCUUAACCAAGGAAGUGCAUCCGAAACUGCUGAGCUUGAGUACGAAAGAGGAUCGCGGAAUUCCCGGUGUAGAGGUGAAAUUCGUAGAUAUCGGGAGGAACACCAGUGGCGAAGGCGGCGAUCUGGGUCGAUACUGACGCUGAGGUGCGAAAGCGUGGGGAGCGAACAGG